rnacentral:tRNA from 1 species
GGAGAGGUGCUCGAGUGGCUUAAGAGGCACGCCUGGAAAGCGUGUAGGCGCCAAAAGCGCCACGGGGGUUCGAAUCCCCCUCUCUCCG